GGGGUCUUAGCUCAGUUGGUAGAGCGCCUGCUUUGCAAGCAGGAUGUCAGGAGUUCGAAUCUCCUAGAUUCCAC
rnacentral:tRNA from 1 species